GUGGCAGGAUAAAUUGCUAGCCUGCAAUUAUAGUAAAAUCUCAGACCCUUCACAGUUCUUGACAGCAGCUUUACCAAGAACACCCUGUUCCAAAUGAGAGCUGUUCCAAAGGUGUUGCUGAGGUCACAGUAGAGAUGCCCAAGGAAGACUUCAGCUUCAAGUGCCCUGAGAGAGAGGUGUCUGGGAUAGGAGUGCAGGACAGACUGUAUACAGGAAAAGGACUGGUCUUGGCUCCUUCCAGCCUGAAUGGGUUGUUGAUGUCCUAUGACAUUUAAGAUCGAAUGAUCCAGAACAUAUUGAAGAUGUUGAACUACCAUGGCCAAUAUAAAUACCCUGGUGGGGCCUUAAAGCAAGACCACCCUCCAAAUGGUAC